rnacentral:rRNA from 1 species
CGGAGGAAAAGAAACCAACAGGGAUUGCCUCAGUAACGGCGAGUGAAGCGGCAAAAGCUCAAAUUUGAAAUCUGGUUGUGCCUGGCGCAGCCCGAGUUGUAAUUUGAAGAAGGCGACUCUGGAGGCGGCCCUUGCCUAUGUUCCUUGGAACAGGACGUCACAGAGGGUGAGAAUCCCGUGCGGCGAGGUGGCCCCGGCUCCGUGUAGAGCGCUUUCGAAGAGUCGAGUUGUUUGGGAAUGCAGCUCUAAGUGGGUGGUAAAUUCCAUCUAAAGCUAAAUAUUGGCGAGAGACCGAUAGCGAACAAGUACAGUGAUGGAAAGAUGAAAAGAACUUUGAAAAGAGAGUGAAAAAGUACGUGAAAUUGUUGAAAGGGAAGGGUAUUAGAUCAGACUUGGCGGUUGCUGGGGAUCCCCCCCUGCCCUUGUGGCGGGAGGGCUACUCCCUGCGCGCUGGGCCAGCAUCGAUUCGGACGGCGGGAGAAUGGCGUGGAGAAUGUGGCAGCGGCCCUUUGCGGGGCUGGUGUGCUUAUAGCUCUGGGCAGAUGCCGCCUGUGUGGAUCGAGGAGUGCGUCCUUAGGGACUAGGAUGCUGGCGUAAUGAUCUAACACCGCCCGUCUUGAAACAAC